GGCAUGCUGGCCGUCACGUGAGAGUGACGUAACCAUUUGCACAGUACGGAAGCUUUAAUUAUACAACUUCAAAGUUAAUACACCCGAAGGUGCGUCCUAAUUUGGUCCAUUCUGUCAGAACCCCGCUGAAUUCCUCGUAGUCACCACACCUCUGCAAUUCUUUAACCUGGAGGGGCGCAAAACCAAAAUUGAGUGGGUCAGUAAAACAAAUCUUUUCAAAUCCAACUUUUCUCAAAACAUUGUAACCCCUCUCCGUAAAACUUGUAUACUUUCCCAGAAAUGUAAAAUAUAAAUAUACAUAUAUAAUCUCAAAACUUCAAUUCACUUUUUCAACAUUUUUUCAUAUCAGUUAUGCCAUGCCAUGUCUAAAUUCAACAGUUAAGUAUGAAUGCAUCAACAAUAAUCAUAUCAGGUGCAAGAAAGAAAUCAACCGGAGGCCCUCUAAUGGCCCUGUACGGUUAAACCUAGAGCUCAAAAUCUAUCACUCUCACUCUGCCGGAGUCACCUCUGUGACCUGUCCGGCCUUCUGCACAUAAGUCGGAACCACCUAAUGUAGUAUGUACGACUCAAUGGUUAAUAUUACGCUCUAGUGCUUUUCUCAUCAAUCAUCUGUGCACAUAAUCUAAGGUCACCCACCAGUCGGAACCUCUCUAAAUCUCUAUACGACUGGCCUGUCGCACCCACUCCGCGUGGUAUGUACGACUAGCAUCUACUUGGAUCCAAGGCGAGCGUGCGAUGCGGUGAAUACUAUAAGCACUAAACCAUGGUGCAGGAUAUGAGCUCAAUAUAUAUCAUCAUCAUCAUAACAGUAAUUAAAUACUCACCUGUGCGUCCACCGCACCAAUUCAUACAUAUGCAUCAUAUAUCAAUUCAUACUUUUCAUAUAAUUUCAUGCAUGGCAAUUCGAUUCACAUUUCAAUGUACUUUUCAUAUACUUUCAUGCAUGGCAUUUCAAAUCAUACUUUCAUUAAAUUUCAAUUUCUGGGAAAACGUCAAGUAUAUAUAUAUAUAUAUAUAUAUAUAUAUAUAUAUAUAUAUAAGUAUGUGGGAAUUCAAAGAACUUGAUUAAUAUCAAUAUAAAAUUUUUAGGAUUAAUAACAAGAGCAUAUAUAAACAAAACUAAAUUUAAUAGAUUUAAUGUUCAUGAUUAAAAUAAUGAUGCUGAUAUUCGAUUGAAAAUAUAUUUAUUGAAAUUUAAACAAGACUUACAGAAGUUUCGUCUAUUGACGAUUUUGAAAAUUUAAAAGCUGAUCUUGGAGCUCGCAGGCAUCCUUUAAAAUAAAAUAUAUCUAUUACAAUAUUUUUGCUGAGAAGCUGUAAACUCUGUUUAAUAUGAAUACGCAGAGUUUUCCUUGAGAAAAAUCCUCCUCCUUCAGAAGGCUCGAGAGUCCCUUUUAUAGACAGAGGAGCUGAUCCUGAAUGAUUGAGGGAUGGAAGCGGGAUUCCCGCUCUGCAUGUGCUACUGCUGUAAAGAGGCCGAAAGCAGAAGAUGCUGUCGGUGACUGUGGCUUUCACGAGAGUGAAUACUGUGGAGAAAAUGAUGGAUGAAUAGUAAAAGUGAUUUUACUAUUCAUGAAUAGUGCCAUGUCUGCUACUGCUGUUUUCACUUGCGGCUAGCUUUGUCUUCAGGUGCAGUUAUUACAGAAUACUCUACAGAGUCUAAAUACAAUGUAUGCUACUGAGAUACAAAUUUAGAAAUUCCUAUACAUGCUAUUAAAAGUUUAAAAUUCGUAUGGGUCUUGAGAAUCAGGUGGGAAGAUAUUUCCCUGUGAAGCUACUGCUUGUUGUGAUGAAGCAUCCGAAGAGUUGUCGGAGUCCGAACUGUCUUCAUUCUCUUCUUGCAGUUCCUUCAUGAGAAUUUUGGCUAGAGCCUUGAGCUUUGAUGAUUUCUUUUUCUUCGAACUGCUCGAAGAUUUGGAUGAUUUGGUUUGGCCCUUGAGAGAGGAAGAAGGACUAAUAUCCGAUAAUGAAUCGAUUUCUUCCUUAGUGGGUUCAAGUAGGGCUGUUGCUGGAGGAGCUGCUACUGCAGGUACUGGAUCAGAACCCAUAGGGAAGUCCUUGAGCACAACUUCAAUGAUCUUCUGGUAGUUGAACUUAUCCCACCAUUUGAUCAUUCUCUGUCGGAAGACUUGGUUGGAUUCAAUCUCGUAAUUCCAGCGGAGAAUCCAGGGGAUCUUGUAUUUUGCCAUGAACAGGGCGAACAAAGGGAUUCCUUCAUCGAACCGCGUUCUAUCGAACUUCUUCUGGAAGGUGCCUGAUAAGACUUUCUUGAAUUCGUCUGGCAUGAGAUCAGAGAUGAGGCCAUGUUCUGCCCACCAUCUGGGAAACCAUGCAGGAAAAUUCAAUCUGAAACUUCGAUCAAAGGUUAUAAACCAUGAAUGACUAAAAUCUUCGGAUUGGUGAAGGAAGAUGUUAGUCCAAGCUUGAAUGUAAUCAAAAUAGGUAUAAUGGUUUGAGUGACUGGGAAAGCUACUGCUUUUAAAAGGUUUAGGCUGAAAAAGAGGCACUUGCCAUUCUGACUCUAAUAAGAAUUUAUUGAUGGUAAGGGAAUGAUACAGGAUUCUGUUUUGAUUGCCAGAAGUUUUAUCAAAGAUGGGUUUUAUGGUGAUGGAGGAAGUCUCAUUGAGAAUAGUAGUAUAAUACUUGAGGGUUUUGUGAAAUUCACUCGGCUGAAAAUGGGAAUUGGUUGGAAACAUCUUUUUGGCUAUUACCUCAGGAGUUUUCAGAUGUUUGAAAUUAAAUGGGAUACUGAAGAGAUACUCUUUGGAGGGUUUAAUAAUGUAGGGAGAUGUUUUAGUAUAACUUACUGAGGGAGAUGGCGAUUGCCUGUAAGUAGAGGAGAAAGGAUCAUACUGGUUUACUAACGCUGUUUGGUAAUUUGGUCGGAUGCUUCCUAGAGUUGAUCCUAAUGGAGUAAAUCUAUUGGUAAUGGCUAAGGCCGAGGAACCGGGAAUAGGUUCCUGUUUUAGUGGUGGUAGUGAGGCGGGAAGCCUCCUUUGUUGGCUACUGCCUUGUGGAGAAGUUGUGUUCUUAUUAGACAUUCUUCCCCUGCAAAAAUUCUCUGGUUAGGAAAUCUGGAAUGCAGUUAUGGCUGCCUUUAAUGUAUUCAAUUUCAAAAUCAAAGAUUGAUAAUAUGGCUUGCCAUCGUGCAAAAAUCUGUUUUGAUGCAAUAUUUUGAACAUCCUUUUGUAAAACAUGUUUUGCAGAUUUGCAAUCAACUCUAACGAGAAAUUUUUGAUUUAAUAGAUCAUCUUGAAAUUUACUAAUGCAUAAAACUAUAGAUAGUAUUUCUUUUUUAAUAGUACUAUAAUUAGUUUGAGCAGGAUUCCAUACACCUGAAUGAAAACGAACAAUUUGUUCAGGUGAUCCGGAGGAAGUUUGCUGUUUGAGGAUACCUCCAUAACCAACGUCAGAGGCAUCAGUUUCAACAAUCUUAAAAGAGUUGGGAGUUGGAAUGCCAAGACAGGGCAAAGUCUUAACAUAAUUUUUGAUUUGUUUGACAAUAGAAGUAUGAAUGGUAGACCAGGCAGGAGGAUUCUCCUUAAGGCGAUCAAACAAAGGUUUACAUUGUUGACGCAAAUGAGGAUAAAAUUCUGAAACAUAAUUCAAAGAACCUAAGAAUCUUUGAAGUUGGGUUUUGUCAGUAAUCUGGUCUGGAAAUUUAUCUGCAAACUGGAUGACACGGUCAAUAGGUUGGAUGGUAGACCUAUGAAUAUUAUAACCUAAAAAUCUAAUCUUAAGUUGAAACAACUUAAUCUUAGUGGCUGACACGACCAAUCCAUUUGACCUAAUGAUCCUAGCAAACAAGUGUAAAUGUUUCCAAUGUUCAUCUAUAGAUUUAGAGAAAACAAGAACAUCAUCAAUAUAAACAAUUGUAAAAUGACUAUACUGAUUAAAAAUCUCAUUCAUAAUAUUCUGGAAUUCAGAUGGUGCAUUUUUCAAACCAAAAGGCAUAACAUUCCAUUCAUAAUGGCCGAAAGGCGUUACAAAAGCAGUUUUAUAUUUGUCAGAUUCAUGAAUUUGGAUUUGCCAAAAUCCUGAUUUCAUAUCAAACUUUGAGAAAAUAGUUGCUUUACUAAGCCUUUUUAUUAAAUCUCUUUUGUUGGGAAUUGGAUAUCUAAUCCAUUCCAAAACUUCAUUUAAAGGUUUGUAGUUAAUAACUAAUCGGGGAGAACCCCUCUCAAGUUCUGCACUUUUCUGAACAUAAAAUGCAGGACACGACCAAGGUGAUUUACUUUUCCGGAUAAUUCCUUUAUUAAGAAGGUCUUGUAUUUCUGUUUUACAGAAAUCCAUUACUUCUUGGCUCAUUUGGAUGGGUCUGGCCUUAGUAGGGAUUUUUGACUCAUUAAAUUCCUUGAUAUAAGGUAAUUUAACGAUAUGUUGUUUGCGGUGCCAAAAGGCAUUGGGAAUAUCAGAACAUACAUCUUUAACAAGUUGUUCUUCAAAUUUAAGGAUUUUUUGAGAUAUAAUCUCUUGUUUGAGUUGUUCUUCAGUUCUUUUGUGAUGAAUAUCAUCUUUCAAGAAUUGAAGAUGUUUAGUCUUAUUAGAGAUUAUGUUUAAGGAUCGCGAAGUGCUGUCCUUCUGGAGAUGCCUAAGUUUUUUUAGGUCUGUUUCCAGGCAGAACUCAAAUGUGACUUUCUGUCUUAAGACCUUUGAGGUAAUCCUAUUAUGAUGUGUUUUAAAAGGAUAGAGGAGUGCUAUAAAGGGUAAUCCUAGUAUGACAGGGUCAGAUAAGUUCUUAAUUAGAACAAAAGGUGUUUUGAAACAAACUUCAUUUUGGCAAACAUGCGCCUUAGGAAGUUCAUAUUUGAUUUCCAUUGGAGAUUCAUUAGCAGCACUAAGGAUUUCCUUGGACUUGUGGAAAUACCUAGUGGGAAUCAGACCUUCUUGAAUACAAUUCAAGUCUGCUCCGGAAUCAAUCAAUGCAAUUGUUUCGAAACGAAAGUCUUCAAUUAUUAUUGUCACUUUAGAAUACCAUUUUUGGAUUCUAAUUUUGUGAAGAAGAUUCAGAACUAAGUGUUCUGAGUGUGUAUCAUCUUCAGACUCAUGGUGACUACUGGAAGAGGAGGAACUGAAUAGUUCUUCUCUUGGAGGAGUAUUGGCUCUAUUGAGUUGUGUACGAAUUUCGUGAUUAUCAGAUUUUAGAAGUUUAAUUUCUUCUUUUAUCUGAUUAAUUUCUUUUUGAAGGUCACUGACCGUAAUUUCUUUCUUAGUUUUACUAAACUUUGCUAGUGUAGAACUAAGAGAGAUUUGGGGUUUUUGUAUUUGAGGUUGGCUAGUGCCUACUUCUUCUUGGGAGACUAAGUUUUUAAGCUUUUUGAGGUAGAACCUUUUGAGUUCAGUGUCCUCAACAUUGCUUAUUAGUUCUAAGAGUAAUUCUUCUUGUUUUUCUUGUUUAGUUAAUACUGAUAUAUUCUUACAACAAGCAUCAAGACAUCCGAUCUUGAUGUUUGGAGUGGAGUGCUUACUAGAAGCAGAUUGAUAAGAGGAUGACGAGGUAGAACCCAGAUCAUCUUCUGAAGAAUGACUACUGUCAGUAUUUUGGAGUUCUAGGGCUUGGAUAAGUUGAAGCUUUUCUUCCUCAGAAAUCUUCAACUGAUUUAUGGUUUUCUUAACUUUACACUUAUUAGCAUAAUGCCCUUCUUUGCCACAUUUGUAGCAUUUUCCUUUAUGACUAUUGUCUUUAGAAUGGAAUUUUCCAGAGGAUUUUCUCUUUCCUUUCCAUCCUUUCUUUCUGGGGUUUUCAUAAAAUGGGUUUGGUUUGGCAUACUUGCCUUUAUGAUACUUGGAGGAGUUAGUCCGUGGUUUAGAAAUCUUUGAUCUAUGGAAGGCAGUCGAUUUCUUUUUGAGAUUGGAGGGAGCGAUAGGUGGUAAACCAUAUUGCUCACAGAAAGUUCCUAAUUCAUAUUUGGCGAUAGCCUUUUCAGAUUGUGCUUGUUUAGAUAUUUUCAUAUCUAUGCACAUUUUUAAACCUUCUUUUUGGAUAGUACUUAUGAUAUGUCCAUAAGUAAGAUCAUUAUAAGGUAUAAUUCCUUCUUCAUUAAUUAAGGUAUUCCUUAUUUUGUGGGCAAAAAGGUUUGGUAAUCCAUUUAUAAAUUUUUCUUUCCAAAAUGGUUGAUUACUAUCAUCUCUAAGCAUAAUUCUUGACAUAAAAACAUCUUUAUACCAUCUAAAAUCACUUAGGGUUGGGCACCUUAAGUUACGUAGUUGGUCAUGAAUUCUAGAUGUGAUAUUGGAAGGGAUUCCUAUGAAAUGUUGUAUGAUUGUAUAAAGUAAGGUAUUAACUGCAUCUGGGACACCCCGUCCUAGAUGUUCAUCGAAGAUAGGUAUUCCUUCUUCAUCUUGUUUUACCGCGUUUCUUAUGAGAUUUCUGGAGUCAUCAGUGAGAUGUUUUUCCCACCAGGAAUGAAGCAUUCCCGUGAAUCCAGAGACAAGGAUAUCAACAAUUUGGGUUUGACUAAGGUCAUGAUUGGUGAUAUAGCUAUUUGCUACCAUGGAGAUGUGCUGGAGUUUGUUUAAUAACUCUUGUUCUGAUAAACCAUCUAUAUUCCAUUCAUAGAGUUUAUCAGAUGAGACAGUGAAUUGGGAUUGGAAAUUCCUUUCUUCGAAUUGAAGAUCAGGAGGUGUUGGCCUGGGAUACCAGUUUUUGGUUAGGGAUGUAGGAUUAGUCCUUUUGACAUUAAGACGUUUUAAUUCAAGACUCUGAAAGGCUUGUCCAUUUGAUGGAUGGAAUCAAUACUUUCAUCUUCUGAAUCCGGAAUUGAGGAAGGUGUUUCAGAAUCAUGUGGAUUAUUAAUCACACGAACUGAUUUAUCCUUUUCUAGCUUAUUAAGCAUAUGUUCUAUCUUAAUGGAUGUUGAGGUUUUUAAAGAGGGUGACUCUCUAAAACUGGUUAAAGGUAUUUCUCUACUAGGUGGUUUAAUGGACAAGUUGUCCACCUUAGUUUCAAUCUUAUCCAACUGUUUUCCUAUAAUAUGUAGGCUUUGGUUGGUAAAAUUGUUUUGUUCAAUAACAGGUUUGACACCUGCAUCUUCCUUUGGAAGUUUGAACGGUGAGGCUGAGACCUGCGUAUUCGCAGUACUAAUAAGUAUAGUUUCUUGUGGAGGGUGACUGGAGGAGACAAUUGACUUGUCUUCCUUAAGCCAAUUUUCUUUGGUGAUUACCUUUAGUUGGUGUUCAGACUCAUAGUGUUUUUCUACAAAAUCGAAGAAAAAUAUUUCAAGUCUGUUGGUUUGCAUGAAAUCUUUCCAUGCCUUAUGGAUUUCUAAUUUUUCUUCAGUAGUAUAUUUACUUCUGAAGAUAUUUCGUCUAGGGACAUUUUCUAGGGCUUCUAUGUCUCUACAGAGUUUUUUACGAUCAUAUUUAAAAGGUUCUUGUCUGGUUAAAACCAAUAGUUGAUGGUGUACUGGUUCUGCAUCAAAAUCAGAAGCAGUUGGGGAUGUUUGUUCAUCCUUAGGAGGAAUGGAUGGGGUAUGAUAGGUAGGCUGGACUACUUGAGCGUUUGUCUCAAGUGAUUGGAGUUUAAAGUUUAAAAGGUCAUUUAUUAAUUCUUGUUGGGUGACAGAAGAGUUUGUGUCUACUGAUUUUAAUUUCCUAUUAGCUAGGGAAUUGAUUAAUUCUUGGUCUCGACCUUGCCUAUCGUCUGGCAUAGAUCCAGAGAAAGAAUUCCUAUUGGAAGUAAAGGAUUUAAGGGAUCGAUUAGAAUCGCAGGAUUUCCUAGCAGGACGAUCAAAAUUAAUUUUGACCGUACCGUCAAAGUACUGUUCUACGUUGUCUAAAUUAACUAGACUAUUUUGGAUGGCUACUGGCCUACUCUCGUUUAUCAGACACCAAUCUGAAGGAAGAUUGAUUUCUGACCACCUAAUGGUUCGAGGUAUUUUUAUAUUGGCAUUCUCUUGAUCAGUCUGGAUCAGGAGAGUAUGAUCUUUCGGACUUUUGGUUAAAGCCUGAAAAUUCAUAUUUGUGCCAGUGACUUUAUAAUAAAUCCUGUAAAUUAAGGCCAAAGGCUGUGUUCCUUCAAGGACUUUGUAUCCUGAAGUUUUGAUAUUUAAAGUAAGUGCUUUUAACAUAUGCGGGUCUGAAAGACUUAUGGUAAGAUCUGGAAAGCAGUCAAAGUGAAUAGGUCCAUUACAGAGGCUGGAUUCAACCAUACCGAGUAUGCUAUCACUAAAGUCAGUGAAUCUAGCAUCUCGAAGGCAUAAGAGGAUAGAGGUAUUAAGACCUCUACGUGUUAAUGGUUUAGCUGCAAUUUGCACUAAACCUAUAUGGAUAUAAUUAUGACCAUCUUUCCUAUGGGAAUUAAUUUGUUCUGGGGUAAACAAUUGACAAGUUUCAUGAUCUUUACUAAGAGCAUAAGCUUGUUCAACCGUUUUAACAUGAUGUUCAGUUUUAAAAGAGGCGAAUGCCCAUUUCUUUCUAUAAAUAUUCUUUGAAGAUAUUUUUGGAAUAUUCCAUUCAGCAAAAUCUAGACUACUGUCUGUUUGAAAUUCAAAUUUUUGUUCUUCAUUGACAAUAUCAGGUAUAGUUCCUAGAUUUGAUCUAGAGCUAGUGCUGGCCAUAGAAUUAGAUCUAAACAAUCUACUCAUACUUAAUAAAUUCAAACAAUCAAAAUACAGAAACCUUAACAGAAAAUCUUACUAGUAACUCUAAACGCCAAGCUCUCUGGGUCAUGCGCGCCGCUCAGGCCCUAUCCUCCGGGACUUACUGUUUGGGUGACGCCUUACUGCUCAGACCUUAUGGAGAUCAGAAAACUACCAAGAAGAUUAAGCUGAAAAGAUCAACUGUAAAGAGACUGAAUAAAUCUAAAAGUAUAAACAGAGUAUAUAUAUAUAUAUAUAUAUAUAUAUACGGAAAACAAAACUGCCCACUCACCUGGAGUUCGCCCUACAACUCCCUAGCACAAUACGCCAAGGCCUCAUGACGAUCGGCGCCUAAAACAAUAAUCAAUUCCAACCUCAGAAUUCAUAGUGAUAGAAUAUAUAACUUAUAUAAAAUACGUCACUACGUAGUUCGAUCCGGAAGAUCCACCACUCAGAUUUUAAAUCCAUAACUUCCAGAGGUCCACAAUAUAUCUCUAGGAUAACAUCCUAAAAUUUCAUUACCAUCCAACGGUCGGAUCUCCGUCAAUUUCCAAAACUAAGUGACGGUUAACAUUUUAUUUUAUGAACUUACAACUCCAAUUUCGGAAGAUCCGUAACUUGGAUUCCCAAUCCGUAAGUUCCAAUAAUCCUCAAAUAUUACGUAUUACAACGUAUCAAAGUUUGGUAACGAUCCAACGGUCGGAUCAUCAAUUCACAUUUUCACCUAAUGCGAAAACUAUAAAACGUUAUUUAAAGCACCUAACCAAUAAUCGUAAUAACUUUCUCAUACGGUGCUCAAUUUGGGUAUAUGAAUAUACCAAAGUGAUCUACUCGACGUCACGAAAGUCGAAAAAAUUUUAAAAUAAUUUUUUACUGUAGCACGCGCCCCCACGCGCACCUUCUUCCUUGCGAGUUCGCAGGACUGGUUUUUCUCCGGUGGCCGGAUUCUGGGCAUUUUUCAAAUGCCUUGUUCUCCUUCGUUUCUCACCCAUUUUCUUCGUAUAAUAUAUCAAAAUGAAGCCCCAAACAUGUAGAAUCGCAAUAUACUACUUUUAAGCUUCAAAAACAACUAAAUCUCACCGGAAAAGUCGAAGCAAAACCGGCCAAACUUGCAGCUCGUGAUCCCGAUGUCCAAUUCCUUCAAACGAAGCACUCCGAGCUUCCUUGGGACCUCACUAAGCUCACUGUGAGCUUGAAAUUCCCUGAAACAUCAAGAUUUACGUGUGCAUGAACAGUGCACUUUCACGGGGAGUUUAGAAUCUAGGUUUUCCGAAGUAAAACUUACCUGAAAUUGGUGUCUACGUGAUCGUGGAGGUUCCAGGAGUUCGAUGGUGGUCUUAACUCCGUCGUUGGUAGAAGUUUAGGGUGGUUUUGGAGUUUGUCCGUGUGAGUUCGAAGGAGAGAGACAGAGAAUGAGAGAUUGGGAGAGAGGAGAGAGAGAGACAGGGUACGGGAAAGAGGGAGAGAAUUGAGGGGUGUGGGAUCCUACCCAAUCCCCAACUACAAAUUCUAACAUAAAAUUUAAGUCUAAGUCUCCACUCUACUUACCAAAUUUUAGGAGCUUAGAUAUAACGAACGUAAAAAUUAUACCUUAGUCACGUAUUAGGGGCAUUUUCGUAAUUUCAUGUCCUCGGAAUUAAAAAUUCCGGGACGGGCUGUGACAAUUUUGAUUGUACGAUAUACGAUGAACGGAUACGAUUACAAGAUCCUUAUUUUCCUAUUAGUAUAGCAUUCAAGAGCAACUACAUUAGAUAGUAAUAAUUACUUCGCUGCUACCAUUGCGUUUUAUAAAAGGUAAAAAGUUGUUGUCCUGCUAUCAUUUUUGAAAGGGGUGUGAUAUUCACACACCCUUUUUUACGUAUCAAACAUCCCUUUAAUUUUUAACCGUUGGAUCGGAUUAAUUGAAGAAGAUCAAGGGACAAAAAACAACAAGAGGUGUGUGAGAAGUAAAAAAAGGUGUGUGGAUAGCACAUCCCUUUUUGAAAAGGUUUUAGAAUCUUGGGCUGUGAUGUCGUAUAUCAGAUGAGUGCAUCAUCAUUUCAAUAAGAGUAAAUUGUAGCAAUGGUCCUUUAAUUUUAACUCAAUUGGAGUAAUGGUCUAUCAACUAAAAACUCAUUACCAUUGGUCCCUUAACUUUAAUCUAACUAGAGAAAUGGUCCCUCAACUUUAACUCAAUUGGAACAAUGGUCCCUCAAACUUUAACCCAAUUGUAGUAAUGGUUCUUCCAACAUAACUCAUUUUGACAAAAUUCUGAUGAAGUUGACGAAAAUUACUAUAGCUACACGUUUUGAUGAGUUGAGGGAUCCCAAUUGUAGUAAUGAUCCUUCCAACAUAACUUAUUUAACAAAAUUCUAACGAAGUUGACGAAAAUGAUCAUAACUACACAUUUUGAUGAGUUGAGGGACCAAUGGUAAUGGAUUUUUAGUUGAUGGACUAUUACUCUAAUUUGAUUAAAAUUGAGGGACCUUUGCUACAAUUUACUCGUUCAAUAAUCCUUUGACAAAGCCAUUGAUCUGUGCAUGUGUUGAAGUUAGUGCAUGUUUUGAUUGUUAUCAUUUUAAUCUACAACUGAGUUUUGCACAGAGAGCAGUAUUUAAGCGUUGCGGCAGUAGUGUGUAGUGUGCGAGAAAGAAAAUGAAUUUUUCAGUCAUGUGGUUUUAAAAGACAAAAUUCAGUUUUUCUUUAUUGAUUUUCAUUGUGCUUUAAUCCGAGAUUGAUUAUGAAAAUGUGUUUUGUGAUUUUCGUAAUUAAUUAAUUGAUUUUCAAAAAUCAUUUCGUCAUGCAUACAUUAUGCAUGAUCACGUUAGUAUCCUACAAAGUUUGAGGACAUGGUGGUUGACGCCUGCGUUAGUGUCGUGCCACUUCCACUCGAAAAGGCUAAAGAGAGAUCGAGUAGCAAAGGCGCGGAGACAAAACUGCCUUCUAGUUGAGUGUCUAGCAAGAUGAGUUUUGUAAGUCCUUUUUAUAUUCAUUUCUCUUAAUGUUUGUUCUGGUUUGGGAGCCCGAUGAUUUUCUUAGUAAUGGAUUUUGUCUCAUUAAAUCCUACAUACCGUGUGCAAUUUUUAUUUAUCUUUUUAACUGCAUAUAUGUAUGAUAAUUUUAUAUGUGAUGUGAAUAUGAAAUUAAUUUGAGAAUUAAAAAUUGAAUUGGAUUUUUAAAUUAGAAUCUAUUCACCCCCUCGGUUAAACUAGUACCCAUCCUAGAACUUUCAAAAACAAACAGAAAGAAGAAAAAAAAUUAUGAAUCUACUAGCUCGAUCGGUUGUAUGAAUCAUACAACCAUAGCUUGAAAAUACAACUACUUAGUGAUUGUAUAUUGAAAAGAAAAGAAAGAACAAGGAAAACUAUUAUGGGUUGUGCCAUAA
rnacentral:lncRNA from 1 species